AUUGAACGCUGGCGGCAUGCUUUACACAUGCAAGUCGAACGGCAGCACGGGAGCUUGCUCCUGGUGGCGAGUGGCGAACGGGAGAGUAAUGCAUCGGAACGUACCUCUUAGUGGGGGAUAACUAUCCGAAAGGAUAGCUAAUACCGCAUACGUCCUGAGGGAGAAAGCGGGGGAUCGCAAGAUCUCGCGCUAGUAGAGCGGCCGUUGUUGGAUGAGCUAGUUGGUGGGGUAAAGGCCUGCCAAGGCGACGAUCCAUAGCUGGUCUGCGAGGAUGAUCAGCCACACGGGGGCUGGGAAACGGGCCAGACUGCUACGGGAGGCAGCGGUGGGGAAUUUUGGACGAUGGGGGCAACCCUGAUCCAGCCAUUCGGCAAGAGUGAAGAAGGCCUUCGGGUUGUAAAGCUCUUUCGGCAGGAACGAAACGGUGGUUACUAAUACGAGCUACUAAUGGCGGUACCUGAAGAAGAAGCACCGGCUAACUACGUGCCAGCCGCCGCAGUAA
rnacentral:rRNA from 1 species